CUGUCUCAGAAUCACCUGCUCCUGUGUCCCCUACCCCACCUUCCCUAGUGUCCCCUGUCUCAGAAUCACCUGCUCCAGUGUCCCCUACCCCAGAGCCACCUGCCCCAGUGUCCCCUGUCUCAGAAUCACCUGCUCCUGUGUCCCCUACCCCACCUUCCCUAGUGUCCCCUGUCUCAGAAUCACCUGCUCCAGUGUCCCCUACCCCAGAGCCACCUUCCCCGGUGUCCCCUGUCCCAGAAUCAACUGUUCCAGUGUCUGCUGUAACAGCGAUCGCAGUGAAAACAGAACUUAAACCUGAACCUGAUCAUGAAGAAGAACCUGAAUCCGAACCAGAACCAGAGCCAGAAUCUAAACUGUCUCCAAAGCCGAGCUCCAGUGUUGGCACGCUCACCGCCUUUUACGACACUCUCAUUUCUUUUGACACAAGUUCAACCAGUUUCAAGGAUAAUGAGCCUGAGCUGGCAAAAGAAGAAGGAGGCUCGGCAAACAG